AACAUACUUGUUUGUCUUGCCACCAAGUAAUUAUACACCAUUAUUGUACAACUUUAAAUGGUAUAGGAAGAGUGUUUGUUACAGUGGGAAAAUUCAGCUCUGGUUGUGAAAAUGACAGUUUAUUCCCCAAAACUGACAGUUACACUGGCCUUCUUGAAGGCAUGAGUGAAAACUUCUUAGAUAGAAAGAGGAAAAAAGAAUAUUCCAGGUAAAGGAACAUAGCAUAUGCAGAGGCCUGAAAGAUGCUCCCUACCUCAGGCAAAACAAAAAUUGAGAGCUGGUUUCCAGCAGAUUUGCAUUUUAAAAAAUAUUAAAGGAAGUUUUCCAGGAGAAGAAAUAUGAUACCAGAUGGGGACAUUUGGUGAACUGUGUUUGCAUUGGAGAUGAAGGAAAGAGAAAGCCAAUGCUUAAAAGAUGGGAAAAGAGGAAUCAAGAAAGAGAGAACAUUAAGAAUAAGAACAGUAACACCUAAUGUUGCUAAACCAGUGGUUACAACCCAUGGAGACCCUUCUAGGAAACA